GAAAAAAGAAAAGAACAAGUAGUACUGCAGUGUAUAGCAUCGAAAAUGGAGAGAGUCCAAAAACUCUUUGUUGUGAUUGUUAUGCUGCUUGCAGCCAUCAGCAGCAACAGGGUGCUUCAGAUUUCUAAUGCACAAACCAUCUGCAACAUGCCGAUGGCCGGACUAAUGGCUUGCAAGCCUUCUGUGACUCCUCCCAACCCUACUGCUCCAACCAGCGCCUGCUGCUCCGCGCUCUCCCACGCAGACAUGCGUUGCCUUUGCUCUUACAAGAAUUCCAAGUUGCUUCCUUCUCUUGGAAUUGAUCCAAACCUUGCCAUUCAACUUCCUGCCAAGUGCAAGCUUCCUCACCCUGCCAACUGCUAGAGGUUAAAGAAAAGAAGGUGUUUCUGCUUAAUUUGGAAGGAUAUAAUAAUUAGCUUAUAUUCAAAUGCGUGCAGAAACAAACAAAAACUGUUAUAACAGAAGAAAGAGGAAAGAAAGAUACAUAAAAUAAAGCUGAAGUUUCGGGGAUCUUUUGACAUUGGCUAAUUUAGCUUUGUCUUUUGUUUUGCUAUUGUUCUCGUUUUUGAGUUGUUGUUUUCUUCAUGAUGGUUGUGUAUCUCCAAUGUAAUAAUAUUUUAAUUAAGAAAUGUUUUAUCUUAACUGUUUUCUUAA
rnacentral:misc_RNA from 1 species